AUUUCAUCAGCAACUGGGAGCUAUGUAAUGCAACACUGCAGACAGCCUAUUUUCCUGAGGACCACACUAGUGAGAACAUCGCAGCAGGACUGAGAGAGUGUCUUGAAAUGUGGGACCUUAAAGAAGAAAAAAUGACGUCAAUGACAACAGACAGUGGAUCAAACAUGGUGAAAGCCUUGGAUCUGAAUGGUUGGACACGGCUGCAGUGCUUUGGCCACAGAUUACAUCUUGCAAUUGAAAAUGGUUCCAGAGAUCCACGGAUUGAAAGAGUGACUUCUGUUUGCAAGAAAGUGGUCAGCACGUUUUCCUUUAGUUGGAAAAAGAAACGAGCCCUCAUGGAAGCCCAAGCAAGCAUGAAUCUACCUCAGCUGAAGCUGAAAACAGAAUCACCAACUCGAUGGGGUUCCAGACUGGCGAUGAUCGAGAGAAUAUUUGAACAGGAAAAAGCGAUCUCUCAAGUCCUAAAGUCAGACAAAAAAACAAAACAUGUGGCUCCCACCUGGCAAGACCUCGAUGUCAUGGACUCAAUAAAAAAA